UACGGAGGGUGCAAGCGUUAAUCGGAAUUACUGGGCGUAAAGCGCGCGUAGGUGGUUUGUUAAGUUGGAUGUGAAAUCCCCGGGCUCAACCUGGGAACUGCAUUCAAAACUGACAAGCUAGAGUAUGGUAGAGGGUGGUGGAAUUUCCUGUGUAGCGGUGAAAUGCGUAGAUAUAGGAAGGAACACCAGUGGCGAAGGCGACCACCUGGACUGAUACUGACACUGAGGUGCGAAAAGCGUGGGGAGCAAACAGG
rnacentral:rRNA from 1 species